rnacentral:rRNA from 1 species
UCGAUUCCCUUAGUAGCGGCGAGCGAAACGGGAAGAGCCCAAACCAACAAGCUUGCUUGUUGGGGUUGUAGGACACUCUAUACGGAGUUACAAAGGACGACAUUAGACGAAUCAUCUGGAAAGAUGAAUCAAAGAAGGUAAUAAUCCUGUAGUCGAAAAUGUUGUCUCUCUUGAGUGGAUCCUGAGUACGACGGAGCACGUGAAAUUCCGUCGGAAUCUGGGAGGACCAUCUCCUAAGGCUAAAUACUCUCUAGUGACCGAUAGUGAACCAGUACCGUGAGGGAAAGGUGAAAAGCACCCCGGAAGGGGAGUGAAAUAGAACCUGAAACCGUGUGCUUACAAGUAGUCAGAGCCCGUUAAUGGGUGAUGGCGUGCCUUUUGUAGAAUGAACCGGCGAGUUACGAUUUGAUGCAAGGUUAAGCAGUAAAUGUGGAGCCGUAGCGAAAGCGAGUCUGAAUAGGGCGUUUAGUAUUUGGUCGUAGACCCGAAACCAGGUGAUCUACCCUUGGUCAGGUUGAAGUUCAGGUAACACUGAAUGGAGGACCGAACCGACUUACGUUGAAAAGUGAGCGGAUGAACUGAGGGUAGCGGAGAAAUUCCAAUCGAACCUGGAGAUAGCUGGUUCUCUCCGAAAUAGCUUUAGGGCUAGCCUCAAGUGAUGAUUAUUGGAGGUAGAG